rnacentral:tRNA from 1 species
AAGAUUUUAAGUUAAUUUUAAACUAUUAGUCUUCAAAACUAAAUAUAAUUUUUUUUUUAAAUCUUA